GCGAAUUCACUCCAAAAAUCUCCUUAUUCUGUGUAUUUCUACUUUUUGUGAUAGAGACACUUUUGUUUGUGGAAUUUAUGAACUUUGGUGUAAUGCCGAGACGUAGUGCUUUCGGUUGUGCGCUCCGUGAGAUUCCAAUGCAUAGUUUCCCAGAUGCUGUCAAAUUCCUGAGCACCCUUAAACAUCUGAUCUUGGAUGUUAUAAGAAGAAGAGAAUUUGUGAUAUACACUUUUCUGACAGACACAGAAAUCAUAAUCAAUGGCUAAGCACAUUGGCAGUUCCGAUGCUUCAUCUGCUUGAGCCAUAUGUGAGCAACUUUAUUUUAGAAAAAGCAUCAACUUCAACAACAUUCCAACCUGUGGCUGCAGAUGCAUCUCAAGGUGCUUGAUGCUGGAACAUAAUUAUAGUUUUAUUAGCAAGCCUAAAAGAACAGCUGGAAAAGAUCUAAUGGCUCCACAGCGCACAAAGAUCAAGCAUCUUCAAGCAGAAAUAUCGCGAUUGCGAAAAAAAGGACAAUCUUUCAAAGCAAGGUUAAAAGGUGGUGCAGAUCGAUCAAUCGAAUUUUGUCAGGAAUAUUAACAUAUGUGGGUGAAGACGAAACAAAAACAGCUGUCCAACAAUAUUAUGAUAAACAUAAACAUUAUAAAAAUAAAAAAUAAUAUGCAAAAA